GACGGGGGUCCUAGCGUUGUUCGGAAUCUUUGGGCGUAAAGCGUGUGCAGGUGGUUUGGAAAGUUGGAUGUGAAAGCCUUGGGCUUAACCCAAGAAGUGCAUUCAAAACUCCCAAACUUGAGUAGGGAAGAGGGUCGUGGAAUUCCAGGUGUAGUGGUGGAAUACGUAGAUAUCUGGAGGAACACCGGUGGCGAAGGCGGCGACCUGGUCCUAUACUGACACUCAUACACGAAAGCGUGGGGAUCAAACAGG
rnacentral:rRNA from 1 species